rnacentral:rRNA from 1 species
UUAUAAGAGACAGCAGCCGCCGCGGUAAUACGUAGGGUGCAAGCGUUAAUCGGAAUUACUGGGCGUAAAGCGUGCGCAGGCGGUUUGUUAAGACAGAUGUGAAAUCCCCGGGCUCAACCUGGGAACUGCAUUUGUGACUGUAUAGCUAGAGUACGGUAGAGGGGGAUGGAAUUCCGCGUGUAGCGGUGAAAUGCGUAGAGAUCGGGAGGAACAUCAGUGGCGAAGGCGGCCAUCUGGGACAACACUGACGCUGAGGCACGAAAGCGUGGGGAGCAAACAGGAUUAGAUACCCCCGUAGUCCCUGUCUCUUAUAC